rnacentral:rRNA from 1 species
GACAAACGCUGGCGGCGUGCUUAACACAUGCAAGUCGAACGGAAAGGCCCUGCUUUUGUGGGGUGCUCGAGUGGCGAACGGGUGAGUAACACGUGAGUAACCUGCCCUUGACUUUGGGAUAACUUCAGGAAACUGGGGCUAAUACCGGAUAGGAGCUCCUGCUGCAUGGUGGGGGUUGGAAAGUUUCGGCGGUUGGGGAUGGACUCGCGGCUUAUCAGCUUGUUGGUGGGGUAGUGGCUUACCAAGGCUUUGACGGGUAGCCGGCCUGAGAGGGUGACCGGCCACAUUGGGACUGAGAUACGGCCCAGACUCCUACGGGAGGCAGCAGUGGGGAAUAUUGCACAAUGGGCGGAAGCCUGAUGCAGCAACGCCGCGUGCGGGAUGACGGCCUUCGAGUUGUAAACCGCUUUCGCCUGUGACGAAGCGUGAGUGACGGUAAUGGGUAAAGAAGCACCGGCUAACUACGU